UCGUGCUAGGCGGGGAGCUAGCGGUUCCCUGAACCCGAAAUCCGCUCAGCGGGGCCGAACUCCCUUUCGAGGGAUCGGCUGGGGGGCCCGUACGGAACUGCUUCACCGGUCGGACACCUCGCAACAGACGGAUGUGAACCCCGUCAGGUCCGGAAGGAAGCAGCGGUAAGCAUUGCGGUCUGUGUCGAGGUCUAUUCUGAUUGGGUGAGGCAGGAAAGGCGGGUCGGCACCAGGCGACUCGACAAAGGGUGCACGA
rnacentral:SRP_RNA from 1 species